rnacentral:lncRNA from 1 species
GAAGGAGAGAAUUUAUGAUUCUCUUCAUCAUGUGAGGCCUCAAAUAAAAAUAUUCACAAAGAUGAGUGUAUAAACAAUCCCAGUCCACGAAUAGGGCUACAAUUAGAUAAGAUCUGACAAUUGGAGCUGACAAUUCAUCUGUUGUGAUACACACAACAAAAGAAAAAGAAAGAAAGAAACAAAGAAAGAAAGAAAGGAAAGAAAGAAAGGAAAGAAAGAAAGAAAAGAAAGAAAGAAAGAGAGAAAAACAUCAUCUAAGAAAGAAGUGCAAAUUGUUCAAACUUCACCUGAGAUAGAAAAGCAAACUGUUCAAACUUCACCUAAUAAAGAAAUGCAAAAUGUUCAACUUUCAAUUAUGAACAAAGAGCAAAAUCUUUAAACUUUAUUUCAGAAAAAAAUAGUAGGGGAUUCCUGGAGAAGCUGCAGUGUGGGGAUGCUCUAGACCGAGUACUGCCCCCAGUGUCUUUCCACCUCCUCCUGCAGCAGCGGCAGCAGCAGCAGCAGUUAGCAGUAGCAACUUGAGGCUGCACCCCGGGCUGCCACUCCAAGAGCGGAGGCAGUGAGAGUACGCGUGUGCCUCGCGCCAGUCCACGCUAGGAGAGCACUGGGACCGAGACCCGGCACCACCUCCCGGUCCGCCCUCCAGAACUUUGUUGAGGAGGAGCCAAGAUGGCCGAAUAGGAACAGCUCCGGUCUACAGCUCCCAGCGUGAGCGACGCAAAAGACGGGUGAUUUCUGCAUUUCCAUCUGAGGUACCGGGUUCAUCUCACUAGGGAGUGCCAGACAGUGGGCGCAGGUCAGUGGGUGCACGCACCCUGCGCGAGCCGAAGCAGGGUGAGGCAUUGCCUCACUCGGGAAGCGCAAGGGAUCAGGGAGUUCCCUUUCCUAGUCAAAGAAAGGGGUGACGGACAGCACCUGGAAAAUCGGGUCACUCCCACCCGAAUACUGCGCUUUUCCGACAGGCUUAAAAAACGGCGCACCACGAGAUUAUAUCCCGCACCUGGCUCAGAGGGUCCUACCCCACGGAGUCUCGCUGAUUGCAAGCACAGCAGUCUGAGAUCAAACUGCAAGGCGGCAGCGAGGCUGGGGGAGGGGCGCCCUCCAUUGCCCAGGCUUGCUUAGGUAAACAAAGCAGCCAGGAAGCUUGAACUGGGUGGAG